GAGAGUUUGAUCUGGCUCAGGAUGAACGCUGGCGGCGUGCUUAACACAUGCAAGUCGAGCGAAGCAUUAAAACAGAUUUCUUCGGAAAGAAGUUUUAAUGACUGAGCGGCGGACGGGUGAGUAACGCGUGGGUGACCUGCCUCAUACAGGGGGAUAACAGACAGAAAUGUCUGCUAAUACCGCAUAAGCGCACAGUGCUGCAUGGCACAGUGUGAAAAACUCCGGUGGUAUGAGAUGGACCCGCGUCUGAUUAGCUAGUUGGUAAGGUAACGGCUUACCAAGGCGACGAUCAGUAGCCGGCCUGAGAGGGUGAACGGCCACAUUGGGACUGAGACACGGCCCAAACUCCUACGGGAGGCAGCAGUGGGGAAUAUUGCACAAUGGGGGAAACCCUGAUGCAGCGACGCCGCGUGAAGGAAGAAGUAUUUCGGUAUGUAAACUUCUAUCAGCAGGGAAGAAAAUGACGGUACCUGACUAAGAAGCCCCGGCUAACUA
rnacentral:rRNA from 1 species